CCUGGUAGCUCAGUUGGUAAAGAAUCUGCCUGCAAUGCAGGAGACCCUGGUUUGAUUCCUGGGUCAGGA
rfam:TPA: Bos taurus chromosome 21, whole genome shotgun sequence.